UUUAAGUGCCCCUCUAGACACAAUUGUGAGUGAAAACACUGAAAAUUAAAGGAAGGCUGCAACCCUGUUGGCAUAUUCCGUGACAUAUGACGUUAUAUGUGCUCAGAUGAAAUACCUAUUGAAAUGUCUGAAAUAAAUCGUCACCAUCCAUCACGUGAAUAACUACGAUUGCGUGUGGUACCUAUUCCAUGCAAGCAUAUCUAUGUACGCGAGCCAUUCAGAGGAGUGUAUGGCAACGGGACCAUUAUUUUGAUUCAGGCAUCAGGCUCCAUCUUAGGAAAAUGUCU